rnacentral:tmRNA from 1 species
GGGGGCGAGCAGGCUCGACGUGGCGAGCGGGGACAGGAGAUAAGCGGGUCGAGGUCCCACCAGCUCGUUAAACGGUGGACGAAACACAAACGCCAACGAAGAACCUGCUCUCGCGGCUGCUGCGUAAGUAACGGCCGCGCGUCGCCGGCGCCCGGCCCGCGGGGCGGCAAGCGGCGUCACACAGAGCGGGCUAACUCCUGGCCGGCGCCCUCCGGCCGGGAGGACAGGUGAAGGGCUAGCUUGCGGGGUAUCCUGCCUGUGGGAGGCCCUGCGAGCGAAAGGAAAACACAGGCUACGCCCGUAGAAACUCCUGCCACUGCCGUUGCGGACCCGGCGUGCAACCCGCCGGCGCCUCCACCA